AGUGAACGCUGGCGGUAGGCCUAACACAUGCAAGUCGAACGGCAGCACAGUAAGAGCUUGCUCUUACGGGUGGCGAGUGGCGGACGGGUGAGGAAUACAUCGGAAUCUACUUUUUCGUGGGGGAUAACGUAGGGAAACUUACGCUAAUACCGCAUACGACCUACGGUUGAAAGCAGGGGAUCUUCGGACCUUGCGCGAUUGAAUGAGCCGAUGUCGGAUUAGCUAGUUGGCGGGGUAAAGGCCCACCAAGGCGACGAUCCGUAGCUGGUCUGAGAGGAUGAGCAGCCACACUGGAACUGAGACACGGUCCAGACUCCUACGGGAGGCAGCAGUGGGGAAUAUUGGACAAUGGGCGCAAGCCUGAUCCAGCCAUACCGCGUGGGUGAAGAAGGCCUUCGGGUUGUAAAGCCCUUUUGUUGGGAAAGAAAAGCAGCAGGUUAAUACCCCGCUGUUCUGACGGUACCCAAAGAAUAAGCACCGGCUAACUUCGUG
rnacentral:rRNA from 1 species